AACGCACAUUGCGCCCCUUGGUAUUCCAUGGGGCAUGCCUGUUCGAGCGUCAUCUACACCCUCAAGCUCUGCUUGGUGUUGGGCGUCUGUCCCGCCCCCGCGCGUGGACUCGCCCCAAAUUCAUUGGCAGCGUCCCUUGCCCCCUCUCGCGCAGCACAUUGCGCUUCUCGAGGGCGGCUCCGGGGCGCGAUCCACGAAGAUGACCACCGUCUUUGACCUCGGAUCAGGUAGGGAUACCCGCUGAACUUAA
rnacentral:misc_RNA from 1 species